rnacentral:lncRNA from 1 species
AAAAAAAAAUUACGUGCUGCUCUCCGUAUGUAUAAGACUGUAAGGCAAGGUUAUACUGUAUUAUUUAGGUGGGAUGGUCUAUGGGCCUUCUUCAAUCAGGUGGGGCAAAAGAAUAUUUAAGUGGAGGCCCAAAUAACUUGUCUGAAGUGAAUAAUUGUCCCUGAAAUUUUCCAGGAAGUCAGCAAAAUUAAAUUGCAGUAGUAGGAGCUAGUUAGGACAUCUCCAAUGGUCGUUGAUACUAAUUUUUUUUUCUCUUUUUUCAAUAUGUUUUUUUUUCUCUAUUCAUUUCUUUUUCUUAAUGGACCCACAUGUUAUUUUCUUUCCUGUCUUGGUAUCCGUGCAGUAACUGUUACUUCUUCAAGUAAUCGCUACUUAGUUGUGGUAUUUAUCUCUUCUCCAUAUUGGUCACUAGUUUCUUGGUAUCCCUGUAGUAUCCCCUUAGCUACAUGUACCGCUAAUGCAUAUGCACCAAUGGUUAAUCCCCACAUCUUUGUGAGUCAUCCCAGAGAUAGCAUAUAUACUACCCCAUUAUCUUAACAACCACGCUGUAAAAUAACAAGCAAGAGGCACAUUUUCAAGCUCAAGCAGAGCAGGAAGGAAUAAAUUACGAUAAACUAACAUGUUGCCAGUUGGUCAAGUUAUCAUGUACUAGCUUCCAUGAAGAUGGAAUGUAAACAAAAGAAAAUCAUGAAGAAAAGUUGUGCAGUGUUGAGAAAGAUCGAGUUACCAAGUUUCCAAACAAGCACAUCAUCACCAAUCUAUCUAUCAAUCUAUACUAAAAGUGAGGGGUAGAUACCCAGGAGAGACUCCACGUUGAUCCACAUCAUCUGAAUUAGUUUGGUCGAUGGAUCUUACAUUUAACGGUCUAGAUUUAGAUUUCAUGAGAGAUUUCAUGAGAUAUGUUUGAUGUCUUAUCAAUAGACAUUAAAGUGGUUUUAGGCUCAAGUAGGCCAAAUUUGUAGAACUAGUGAUAAUUAGAGGUAUAUUUGAUAGGCUAUAAUAAACCUGAAAAUGGUUCCAGCCCAAGUAGGCCCAAUAUGUUAUAAUUAGUGGUAAUCCAAACAUAACAUGCCAACAUUGCAGCUUUAUUU